CCCCGGCAUCACUCCUCGCAUUUCUGAUCUCUGGGCUCCUCAGCCCGACACCAUCGAAGCUUUGCCUCGGGAGCUCUCAGAGGCCUUGGAAUCGCGUCUCUCUUUUAAAAGCAUCCGAUCGGAUGUCUUUUAGAGGUCUUGUUCUGAGCUGUGUCAACAGCCGUGCGCCGCGAGGAUCCAUUGUUGCGGCUUAGGUCUUGAAGAAACGCAGAGAUAGGUAGGGGGCUGUGGCCCUCAGAUUCUCGGGCAUCCGUCUUGGCAGUUGCUGGAGUUUGUCAUUCCAUCAGCAUCUUCUUCCUCCCGGGUUCUGCGAGCUUCAUCAGCUCGCCUUCAUUCUCACCCGGCUCAUCUCGUUCCGCGUUCUCUCGGUCCUUGCGGCCGUUCUUGUGGCCCAGAGUUUUGUCUCCCUGUUGUGUCCCCUCGUCUGUUGUCUUGUGUGUCACGGGUGUCUGGGUGUAGUUGUCCCGGAGCUGCUCUGUCCUGCUGCCCAGCCUGGGUGUAGGUGUAAAAGGCCGAGUCCCAGGCCCCUGUAAUUUGAAAUUUGUCAUGUAGGGUGUAGUUGGAGUCUAGAGGGUAUUCCUAGAUUGACACAAGAUGUCUGGAGCUGUGAAGUUACCCUGCAGCACUUUGACUUUUGUCUCAGCUUUCUUUCAGAUGCGGACGGAUGAAAUCGGUGGCAGAGCGCCCCAUCCAGGGUAAGGGGGUUCCCGCGAGAAGGUAAGUCAAUGUUUGUCUUUGCAGGGCAACUGGAACCGGUCACUGUGUUACAGGUCUCCUCUUUGUGUUUAUUUUUAGGAAGUAGAGCCAGCUGGCAGCAGUCAAGGCGAAGUGGGCAAGGCGGUCCAGUCGCGUUUCGCUGAGACGUCCUUGCCAACCGGCCGGCACAGCUGCUUCACCGCUCCCGUGAGCCCUGCGGAAGCGUUAUGGAACCGUGUGACGGAGCCUUUUCCACGUAAAGGGGCUGUGUGGGUGGCCUUCAGGAACGGGCCGAGGGGUUGCCGCGCGCCCUGUGACGACGGCGUCCAGCUCCCGGCGUGGCCGAAGCGCGCGGCCUCAGGACGUGGCCGUGCGCAGGAGACCCUGACCGAGAGACGGCAGCCUGGCGAUGGCAGGAACUUCCCAGAUGGCGAGGCGGCCUUCCUUGGCGCUCCAUGUGGAUCCUCCCCGCUGGGCAUCCGAGAGCUGAGUCGGAGGCUGCGAAUUGCAGAGGGGCUGAAAUCGGGGUGCCGGGUCGGGACUCUGGACCUGGGGUUAUGGACUCAGCUUUGGGGAUGGGGAGGUCCAGGCUGUGGCCCCUUAGGCCACGUGAAGGAAGAGCCUCACAUUUGUUCACAGUGCUGAGGUGUGCAGGACAGAGCAGUCCCGGGGCGUGUCCCAUCACUUGUCCGUCGUGCCUUCUGUGUCUUUUGUGCUUCUCGUGUUGUACGUGCCUUGCCUUAUCUCUUCUGGGGGCUUACCAGAAACCCCGGCAUCACUCCUCGCAUCUCUGAUCUCUGGGCUCCUCAGCCCGACACCAUCGAAGCUUUGUCUCGGGAGCCCUCAGAGGCCUUGGAAUCGCGUCUCUCUUUUAAAAGCAUCCGAUCGGAUGUCUUUUAGAGGUCUUGUUCUGAGCUGUGUCAACAGCCGUGCGCCGCGAGGAUCCAUUGUUGCGGCUUAGGUCUUGAAGAAACGCAGAGAUAGGUAGGGGGCUGUGGCCCUCAGAUUCUCGGGCAUCCGUCUUGGCAGUUGCUGGAGUUUGUCAUUCCAUCAGCAUCUUCUUCCUCCCGGGUUCUGCGAGCUUCAUCAGCUCGCCUUCAUUCUCACCCGGCUCAUCUCGUUCCGCGUUCUCUCGGUCCUUGCGGCCGUUCUUGUGGCCCAGAGUUUUGUCUCCCCGUUGUGUCCCCUCGUCUGUUGUCUUGUGUGUCACGGGUGUCUGGGUGUAGUUGUCGCGGAGCUGCUCUGCCCUGCUGCCCAGCCUGGGUGUAGGUGUAAAAGGCCAAGUCCCAGGCCCCUGUAAUUUGAAAUUUGUCAUGUAGGGUGUAGUUGGAUUCUAGAGGGUAUUCCUAGAUUGACACAAGAUGUCUGGAGCUGUGAAGUUACCCUGCAGCACUUUGACUUUUGUCUCAGCUUUCUUUCAGAUGCGGACGGAUGAAAUCGGUGGCAGAGCGCCCCAUCCAGGGUAAGGGGGUUCCCGCGAGAAGGAAGUAGAGCCAGCUGGCAGCAGUCAAGGCGAAGUGGGCAAGGCGGUCCAGUCGCGUUUCGCUGAGAUCCCCUCGCCAACCAACCGGCCGGCACAGCUGUUUCACCGCUCCCGUGAGCCUGGCGGAAGCUUUUCGGGACCGUGAGACGGAGCCAUUUCCACGUAAAGGGGUCGUGUUUGUG